AACCAUUCUCACCUGCGGCUAGACCUGCGGAGGGAUCAUUACAAGUGACCCCGGUUUACCACCGGGAUGUUCAUAACCCUUUGUUGUCCGACUCUGUUGCCUCCGGGGCGACCCUGCCUUCGGGCGGGGGCUCCGGGUGGACACUUCAAACUCUUGCGUAACUUUGCAGUCUGAGUAAACUUAAUUAAUAAAUUAAAACUUUCAACAAUGGAUCU
rnacentral:misc_RNA from 1 species